UUUUCUCUCUCAGUCUGCUCCCUUCGGAAGCACCCCGAGAAAGCGGUGGGGGGACGGAAACGGGGAUUCCAACCCUAACCCUAACCCUUCCUCCGUCUUCUCCUCCUCGAUGAGAUGGGAGAUGGAGAUGGAGGAGGUGGAGGCGGUGCUGGAGAGGAUCUGGGACCUCCAUGACAAGAUCAGCGACGCCAUCCACGCCAUCUCCCGCGCCCAUUUCCUCAGCUCCGUCAAGGGUCUCCGCAGCGGACGACAGCCUCCGGUGGCGGCGCCGGCGCCGGCGAAAGGCGGCGGGGAAGGAGGUGAGGGCAAGGGUGGGUUUGUCUUCGUGAAGGAUUUCAGGGUGGAGGAGGACGGCGCGGCGAUGGCGGAGGCCAGGAGCCUCAACGACAUCCGCUCCGCGCUGGAGAACCUCGAGGACCAGCUCGAGUUCUUCCAUACUGUGCAAUCACAACAGCGAGCUGAACGAGAUGCUGCUAUAGCGCGGUUGGAACAAAGUCGUAUCAUUCUAGCCAUUAGGUUGGCUGAGCAUCGGGGAAAGAAGUACAAAGUCAUCGAAGAAGCUUUAGCAUUUGUUGGUGAUGUGCACAACAUGGGCCAUUUUGUCAUGCCAGAGACCCUCUAUGAGAAUGAGAUGACGAGGAGUCGGUCAGGUAAGAAUCUGGAAGACCAUGAGAGCAAAGGGCCUAGUAUGUUGAUGCAAAUGUUCAUAUCAAGCUUCGCUGUGGCCAAAAGGUCAUUCGGAUUGGUGGGCGUCCAAGGAAUUUUAGGGAAUGCCGCGAUGUUCGCUGUAAGUAUGCUUGCUCUUGUGCAUCUCAAUCAAGUUGCUUUUAAGGGUGAAACUGCACCCGCACGAGAUCAGACGUUCUACAGGAGGAGAAAUGAAGAUAGAUUCUCUCGGAUGGAUAAUUCUUCACAUAGUGGCCAAUUGAAGCGACUUGAUGUUCUGUGGGCUAGAGGAUAAGAUUGAGACAUUGAUCCCAGAGUAAUGCCUGUACAUUUUGCUUGCAGUCAUUAGGAAGGACAUGCACUAGAGCUAAGAGUCAUGUAUUGUGAACUAUAACUGCUAUGGAUGCAUGGGGUUAAACUCCAACCACGAAGAAGAUAUUUCUGCGUGUUUCGUGUUUGAUUCCCUUUUGGGGUUACUGCAGGCCCUUGUGUUGCCUAAAAUUCCGAGAGAAAAAGUUAGAACACUCCCCCUGAGAGUUAUCUUGCAAUGGAAUGGUGUUUGCCUCGUUCGCAAGUCAUGUUCAGGUACCUCAAGGAUGAAGGCAGCCAACCAAGGAGAGUCCAUAUAUUUAGUUCAAUGGGUCCCCCAUGUGAUGUGAUUUGAGGGAAUAAAGGUGCCGCCUAUGGCUCUUUUUGGUUGGGGCAAACGACAAGAUGUGCCCCAUCAUCAUGAUGUGAUGUAAGUGCUCGUCAUUGCCCCUCUGUCGAUGAUGAAAUCAAAAGAGAUCAUAUCUUUUCAUGGUGAUCACUCAAUCAGCCCAA